GACGAACGCUGGCGGCGUGCUUAACACAUGCAAGUCGAACGGAAAGGCCCUGCUUUUGUGGGGUGCUCGACUGGCGAACGGGUGAGUAACACGUGAGUCACCUGCCCUUGACUUUGGGAUAACUUCAGGACACUGCGGCUAAUACCGGAUGUGAGCUCCUGCUGCCUUGUGGGGGCUGGCAAGUUUCGGUGGUUGGGGAUGGACUCGCGGCUUGUCAGCUUGUUGGUGGGAUAGUGGCUUACCACGGCUUUGACGGGUAGCCGGCCUGAGAGGGUGAGCGGCCACAUUGGGACUGAGAUACCGCCCAGACUCCUACGGGAGGCAGCAGUGGGGAAUAUUGCACAAUGGGCGGAAGCCGGAUGCAGCAACGCCGCGUGCGGGAUGACGGCCUUCGGGUUGUAAACCGCUUUCGCCUGUGACGAAGCGUGAGUGACGGUAAUGGGUAAAGAAGCACCGGCUAACUACGUG
rnacentral:rRNA from 1 species